CUCAGGUGGAGAAAAAUGUAAUCUAUCUGACCAAGAGAAUGUACUCUCAGGUGGAGAAAAAUGUAAUCUAUCUGAACAAGAGAAUGUACUCUCAGGUGGAGAAAAAUGUAAUCUAUCUGACCAAGAGAAUGUACUCUCAGGUGGAGAAAAUCUUAAGGUAUCUGAACAAGAGCAAAUUGGUGAAAAACUGAAUCUAUCCGACAAUGACAAAGAGCAUGAAGAUGACACUCCCAGUACAUCUAUUUCGGGGAGGGCUGAGCUAAUAGGCAACAGCUACGCUCAGGAAAACACACUGGCUGACACACGUCCCCUAAUCCGGUACAAGAGCGACGAGACAGAUGCCAAUACUCAGGCCUCAUACAUGGGAGAAAGUGAUGCCAGUGAUGGAGAAGAGGACAAGGAGGUUGGACAGACAGGAUUAUGCACCUUGGGUGAAGGUAAAUCCAAACGGUUUGAUACAAUGGAAGACCUGUAUGAAGAGUCCGAAGGCCAUGCCAUGGAUCAGGAAGGUAAGAUGGGCUCCACACAAACAGAGGACACGGAUGGUAGCCAAGCAAUGGGGUAUGGCACAUUAGGGAACAAUGACAAACAUGCUGAAGAUUCAUGGAACCCGAAGGCAGAAGAGGAGCAAUUCUACGAAGAACUUGCAACCACUGGAGGGUACUCAAACAUUUACAGUGAUGAGGAUUAUAAUGAAGAGAAAAUUGAUAGAUUGGUGGAGCAGGAGUUAGAGAAUUUAUCUAUAUCCAGUUACAGUGAACAUUUUAUUGGGCCGAUGAGUAAGAGCGGGUCAGCAUUAAGCCUUCAGGCAAAAGACAUGAGCAGUGAAGAGGUGGAGCAGAUACACUCAGUAAACCUGAAUCAAUCUGGACAAAUACCUCUAAGGGAAGAAAAACUAAAUGAAUCUCAGCUAGACCAUAUACCUUCAAGCGGCGAUGAACUGAAUCUAUCAGAGUCAGAGGAAAUACCUUCAGGUAGAGAGACACUGAGUCAAUCUGAGCAGGAGUAUAAACCUUCAGAGACUAUGUCUUCGCUGCACUCCAGGAUUCUAAUGACAUCUGAAAACACAUCUCUUAGAGGCCAUGCAGUCAAAAUGUCCCAAGCAGAAUACUUGACUCCAGAUGUUUUUAGUACAGAACUGGGAUCUGACACCGACGAACAAGAAAAAGAGAAUGACCAGGAACUGUCUGCGCUGAAUGAUGUGAAUCAAACUAAAGAUCAUUCCAACCAUAGCAAAGUGAACAGCAGGCCUGGGAUUCCAACCGAUAUGAACAAAUCUGAUAUUGAGUCCAACAGCUCAGAUGAUGACUCGCCAAAUGCUAGCCAGUAUUUGGAACCUGUCACUAGAGCAAAUGUAACGAGAGAUCAGGAAGACUUGUUAGAUGUGGCUAUCUCUCAGGAAAGGCAUUCCUCUGUGGAUUGCUCUUCUCUUCUGCAACAUUCUACUGGGGAGGUCACAAAUGAGGAAACAACCCAUGAAGAUCUUCAGGCAGACAAAGCGGAAGUCUUCAAAAGUCCAAAUAAACACCCAGAGUCUGAAGCCUUGGCUAACAACGUUGUCGGGGGGGAUCUGGAGAAUCCGCAGAUGGCCAAUUGGAACACAAAUAUGGAGGGUGACACAACUAAAGCUUCCUCCAUCGAAGACGAUGAGAAAUGAAGGCCCCAACAGGUGAUGCAGCCUUUGUGUUCAGAUACGGUGGAAUGUGUAAAUGUUGCUUCUGAAGACGUGGGAGAAUCCUGGUCAUUGGGGGACGAAUAGGAACAAUUUCUAAAAGGAGUAAUGUUUCUACAAGAAGUAAAAUAGACGAUCAAUCACUGAGAGUGUAAAACUACAGAUAACGUUUUUCAAUUUGAGCAUUGAUUUACAAUCCUUUCCCUAACAUGAACGUGCCAUAUUCAUGUAAUAUCACAUAAAAUCUUGAACAUUUAUUAAGUAAUCAUCCAAGCAGAAUUAGUUUUUUUUGCUAGAAAAUCAAAGUGGUGCCUUUGGGGCACACCUUGCUGAUAUUAACCACCAGUGUGCCUACUCCAUCUGAGGACAGGGACCUGUUUGAAAGAUUUACAUCUCGAUUAUUAUGUUUUUUUCUUCUUCUAAAUGAAUUGGAGAGGCCAUAACUGAAACUGUACUUCAUUUGAUUGUACUGAUAAAUCCAAAGCCAAAACAUGCAAAAUGUUCUAAAGGAGAACCAUGUGUUUUUCUAGUGUCAACUUUUAGCUUAACAUCUUAGUUCAUUUCCUAAAGACAUUUUUGUAUAGAGUAGAUGUUUUGUUUUAACAAUGUUUUUGCAUAAACGUUUAAUUAUUAUUCUUCACACUACAAGGUUUGAUAUCCAAAUAGUUUUGCAUACAUCUGAAAACAUUUCAAACACUGUUUCACAAAGUAUGGCUGACAUUAUUAGUGUAUGUGCGAUAUCAGUCCACAACCCUCCCUGUGCACUGAUGGGUAUUUGUUACAAUAAAGCAACCUGAAUUUGUGUUCUUCGGGCUAGAAUUGCAAAACAAACUUAAAAUGUAGUAAAUAGGCAUAAUGAAGCAUGACAAAUAUGUUAACAAUUGUAUUUCAAACUUCUUCUGACUUAUUUUAUGCAUGCUGCCAUUAACUCCACAGUGAAACAUAUACAUUUUGUAAAGCUUUUAUGAAAUGUAAUGAGGAAAAACUAAUAAAAAUGGAAACAAAUAAACACAA
ensembl:lncRNA